rnacentral:lncRNA from 1 species
GCCUUUAGCCCAAGACCGGAAGUCAUUUCCCCGAUCUGCCGCUCCCUCCCCCCAUCAUACUCUGAAUUUUGACAUAUUUCUGUCUCCGCUAAGAGCAAGAACCAUUUUCAUCAUUUCUCUGGGAGAUUUGCUGGAGUCCGGAAGAGAUGCUCAGACCUCGAUGCCAAAGGCCUGGAGCUCCAGAGAUGGGCUCCAGCUUUUGGUUAAUCAAAUAGCAUUUAUAAAUCAUCUGCUAUGUUCCAGAGACAAUCACUUCCCAGUAAUUCCCA